rnacentral:rRNA from 1 species
CCUACGGGAGGCAGCAGUGGGGAAUCUUGCGCAAUGGGUGAAAGCCUGACGCAGCGACGCCGCGUGAGGGAAGAAGGCCUUCGGGUUGUAAACCUCUUUCAGGAGGGACGAAGCUACUCGGGUGAAUAGCCCAGAGGGUGACGGUACCUCCAGAAGAAGCCCCGGCUAACUACGUGCCAGCAGCCGCGGUAAUACGUAGGGGGCAAGCGUUGUCCGGAUUUACUGGGCGUAAAGAGCGUGUAGGCGGCUUCGCAGGUCCGUUGUGAAAACUGAAGGCUUAACCUUCAGACGUCGACGGAAACCGCGUUGCUAGAGUCCGGAAGAGGAGAGUGGAAUUCCUGGUGUAGCGGUGAAAUGCGCAGAUAUCAGGAAGAACACCAAUGGCGAAGGCAGCUCUCUGGGACGGUACUGACGCUGAGACGCGAAAGCGUGGGGAGCGAACAGGAUUAGAUACCCUGGUAGUCCACGCCGUAAACGAUGGGUGCUAGGUGUGGGGGGUGUCGACUCCCCCCGUGCCGCAGCUAACGCAUUAAGCACCCCGCCUGGGGAGUACGGCCGCAAGGCUAAAACUUAAAGGAAUUGACGG